UACGUAGGGUGCGAGCGUUGUCCGGAAUUAUUGGGCGUAAAGGGCUCGUAGGCGGUUUGUCGCGUCGGGAGUGAAAUCCACUGGCUUAACUGGUGGCUUGCUUUCGAUACGGGCAGACUGGAGGUAUGCAGGGGAGAACGGAAUUCCUGGUGUAGCGGUGAAAUGCGCAGAUAUCAGGAGGAACACCUAUGGCGAAGGCAGCUCUCUGGUACGACACUGACGCUGAGACGCGAAAGCGUGGGGAGCGAACAGG
rnacentral:rRNA from 1 species